rnacentral:misc_RNA from 1 species
GAUGAAGAACGUAGUGAAAUGCGAUAAGUAGUGUGAAUUGCAGAAUUCAGUGAAUCAUCGAAUCUUUGAACGCACAUUGCGCCCUUUGGUAUUCCAAAGGGCAUGCCUGUUCGAGCGUCAUUUGUACCCUCAAGCUUUGCUUGGUGUUGGGCGUCUUGUCUCUAGCUUUGCUGGAGACUCGCCUUAAGGUAAUUGGCAGCCGGCCUACUGGUUUCGGAGCGCAGCACAAGUCGCACUCUCUAUCAGCAAAGGUCUAGCAUCCAUUAAGCCUUUUUUUCAACUUUUGACCUCGGAUCAGGUAGGGAUACCCGCUGAACUUAAGCAUAUCAAUAAGCGGAGGA